rnacentral:precursor_RNA from 1 species
AAUCUUUCAUUGUUGUCCCGGUGUAAAAUAUUAUCACCGAGAUGACAGUAAAAGAUGAA